CGCAUUUAACUCAUCAUUUCAUCUUAUUAUUUUGGAGUAGUUCUCAAGUUAAAAUGAUUAAUGAUUACUACAUGGAAUAUAUGCAUGUUUGUAUAAAUAAUAUUAAAUAUGGAAUUUUGCGGUGAAAUAUUUGGGCUAUUCGUGGCAAGAUGAGUGGAAAAUGAAGAAAUUGAACAACCUGUGCUGGGAUGAUCAACCAGGAUCCCCUUUUUCUUUCUUCUUGUUGAUGACAAGCCAGAUUCAGCUAAGAUUGGCAAAUAUGUUGAGGGUUGCAGAGAUUAUAUGUCUUAUAAUGGCUCUCAAAGUUCGGGAUUUGAACUUUCCGAUCUGAAACAUGCCCGGAGAUUGUCCCCGAAGCCCCAUCUCCCCAUCCUUUGGUAAUGCCACAUUCUAUUAAUAAACUGUGGACAUGUUUCUUGUGAGUGAAACAUGUGAGUGUUCCUGGAAGUCAUUCUGUGAGGUUCCAAGUUUUUGCUCACAUUUAGACUAGUGGGAUCAUAUCUUUCUAAGCGAUGGAAGAUUUAUAAAUAUUUCCAUUGCAAACUUAAAUGAAGGCAAGUCAGUUUGGCUAUUGUAAGCAUUUUCAGGAUUUGGAUCUUCUCUUUUUUGAAGAUUUCAUUAUGUUUUUUGCGUAUGUAUUUAUUGACAAUUAUGGGUUCUA